rnacentral:rRNA from 1 species
GGAAUAUUGCGCAAUGGGCGAAAGCCUGACGCAGCCACGCCGCGUGAGUGAUGAAGGCCUUCGGGUUGUAAAGCUCUGUCGGGAGGGACGAAGGAAGCGUUUCGCAAGUUUCGCUUCUUGACGGUACCUCGCAAGAAAGCACCGGCUAACUCUGUGCCAACAGCCGCGGUAAUACAGAGGGUGCAAGCGUUGCUCGGAUUUACUGGGCGUAAAGCGUACGCAGACGGUGAGAAAGGUCGGAUGUGAAAGCCCCGGGCUCAACCCGGGAACUGCAUCCGAAACCAUCUCGCUAGAGUAUGAGAGAGGGAAGCAGAAUUCCUGGUGUAGAGGUGAAAUUCGUAGAUAUCAGGAGGAAUACCUGCGGCGAAGGCGGCUUCCUGGCUCAUUACUGACGUUCAGGUACGAAAGCGUGGGUAGCAAAC